AUUGAAAGAUGCACCUAAGAAUAUUUCCUAAAGUACAGUGUUAAGAUAUAAAGUUGCUGUAGUGCAUUCAGAUCUUAUCAUCCACACUAAUACCAUGCAGCCAAAGAGUAAGUUGUAAUAGUCUAGUGUUGUCUCAUCAGGCAUAAUUUACCACUGGCCAACCUCCAAAUUCCCACACAGGA